rnacentral:rRNA from 1 species
AGUGAACGCUGGCGGCGUGCUUAAUACAUGCAAGUCGAACGAGAACGGGUUAUAGCUUGCUAUAAUUGUCAGCUAAGUGGCGCACGGGUGAGUAAUGUAUAGGUAAUAUGCCUCUUACUAAGGGAUAACAAAUGGAAACGUUUGCUAAUACCUUAUACUCCUUAUUAACAUAAGUUAAUAAGGGAAAGAUUUAUUGGUAAGAGAUUAGCCUGUAUUGUAUCAGUUAGUUGGUGGGGUAAUGGCUUACCAAGACUAUGACACAUAACUGGUUUGAGAGGAUGAUCAGUCACACUGGAACUGAGACACGGUCCAGACUCCUACGGGAGGCAGCAGUGGGGAAUAUUGCACAAUGGACGAAAGUCUGAUGCAGCAACGCCGCGUGGAGGAUGACACAUUUCGGUGCGUAAACUCCCUUUAUAUGAGAAGAUAAUGACGGUAUUAUAUGAAUAAGCACCGGCUAACUCCGUGCCAGCCGCCGCAGUAA